UUCUUAAAAAUUGCAGACGUUCUAGUACACAACAUAACCGACUAUAAAAUUUGUAUUCUUUAGUGAAAAUACUUGUUCAGAUCAAAAUGAGAAUUUUAUUUUAUAGUGUAUUUUUUCUCUGCGUAAUAUUCGUUGUGUUGAGUGCCACAUUAGGUACACGUCACAAAAGAAGGAUUCGUUUUCCUCGUUUUCCAGUACACUGUCCCUAUGGUCGGAUAUGGGUGAAAGGACAAUGUAUUGAAAUGAUGUUAACGGAUUUUAGUCCCAUAAGAAAAGCAUAGGACCCCCCUGAGAUCCUCACUUCCCUCGGACCCCGACAUACCUCCUUAAACAAUUGAAGGAUUGGUAACCCGCUCCCUUUCCUAUAACGUACCACUGAGGAUCCAAGUAACCAGCUUUUUUAUAUUGUCUGCAAUUAUGUAAACGCAAUAAAAUUGUUUAGAAGCA